GGGCGGGGGGUUCUCGUAGGACUCCAGGACGUCCUCUGCCGACGGCGGGGAGGACGGUGUGACCGCGCUGGCCAAGAAGAAACGCCCGGCCCCUCCCCGGGCCCACCAGCCACCCCCCCUCCUGACACUGCAGACGCUCCAGCAGCUUCCUGACGAAGGUUUCCCGAGGACCACUGCUGACCCCGCAGUCGGCGGGCCGGCCCACGCUGUCGCCCUCCACGGCGGGUAUCCCCGGCUUCUGGCGUUGCUCUUGAAAGUCGGAAACCACGCUGAGGGCUAGUCUUCGGGACGCGUGCAGUCUUUCUUCUUGUGGGAAUUUCACGGGCUCCUCUGGCCCACGGUCUCCACACGGCAGCCCUGGGCUUCUCUGUGCAAGUGCAGCCACGGAACUGCUCAGCCAUCGGCCACGCUUGCCAGCACCUCGGGGCAGGGCUUAAAACAACGAAGAAGAAUUCUGGACGGCAACUAUACGUGCCCCACAAAGGCUACAUUAUCUACCUCCCGGCCCUUUACAGAGAAGUCUGUCGCCCCAGGAUCUGCGUCCUCGAACAUCUGGCUCUCGUGCGGGAAGCGAGCGGGUGCUCAGUCUGCCAGGCUGGCUCGUGGUGGGACAGAUGGCCACGUCCUCCAGCCUCUGCCUGGGUGUCACUGACGCCAGCGUUGUCCGGUCAGCCCCCUCUGACAAAGAGCACGGGGCCUCCCGCACGCAGCAGGUUCUCUGUCUUCCCUCAGAAGCCCUCCUUUUCAGGAUGACCCUUCUGGUGUCAGGAUGACACCCUGUCUUAAAUGUUCCAGCAGUAAGCACAGGGGGAGGGCCGGCCCGGCCGUGCGGGAAGGGGCCGCUGAGAUCCGAAGCGCACACAGAAACCGCACAGACGUGAAGCACGACAGCCUGUGUUCCCAGCGCAGGGCAAGAGAGGGGAGUGUGUGGCCGCGGGAGGAGGCCCCUGCCGGGCAGGCCUGUCCCCCGCUGCAGCCCCGCUCGGCCUGCUCUUGCGUUCCAGACCCCGGGAAUCACCACCUGUGCCCCUCUGGGCCAGACUGUGGCUCAACCUCGUAUUUAACGUUGGCCUGGGCCUGGGCAUUCACGCUGCUGUGUGGAAUUUCGCUGCAAGGAAUUUUCUCGAUUUUUUUCAAGAUUUCAAGUAUUUACUAUACGCAUGCCAAAGGCUCGAACUCACAACCCCAGGAUCAAGAGCCGCACGCUCCACGGACCUUCAGUCCCCGCCGGCCCUGUUCUCGAGGCUCCACGUCUUCCGUGGGCAGUCACCCCCCCGGCCUCCGCUUUCCGGCCCCUGCGGUGUUUCUCCUCCCCCGGCCUGCUCGGUCCCUGUGGGCUUACGCUUUGCUUUUGCGGAGUGGUAUUUGGGGAGGAGGCCAAAAGCAUAGGUUCAGGUUGCAAUCUGUAUGCAGAGGUCCCGUUUUCUGCACUGUCUCUAGUGAAUUCCUGCUGCGCUUUUAGAAUUAAAAGAACAAAAUCAAGUAACUCAAAAGAUACUGGAACAAGCCGUGGCUCCCAGCACGUGGCAGGUUCGGUCUCUGCCGAACCAUCACCGGCCGUGGCACCGGGGCUUAGCCAGCAGGAAGCAACUGUCACGGGAGGUUGAAAUGAGACGACCCGCUCCGCGGGUCACACCUCGGAGGUGCUCGGCAAGGCAGCCGCGGCCACCAUCCAUUACUAAGAGCGACAGUGACGACACCCAGAUUUCUGUGCUGCGUCCUUGAGCGGAAGGGAAGCGCUCCGGUUUUACAGCAGACGGGAAGGUCCACCGUCCCCCCAGACUCGCGUCACCCCUCGGCACGCUCCGUGUCCUGCAGGCAGGGAAGGACACACUGGUUUCAUUGAGCAUCGGUGACGACCGUCCGGUAGCUCCCGAGGGAGGGGACCGUGCCGUACUCGCUUCCUGUCAUUCUUCCCACAAAUGACCGUGCGCGCAUCCGCUGCGGUUCUGGGGGCUCAGACCCCGAGCCGGUGUCGGGCCCACCCCCGGGACUCAGCAAGGCUGGUGUGGGUCGUGCGAAUUCAGUUCCUUGUGACGACGGGACGGAAGUUCCCCUUUCUGCACUGGCCCGCAGCUGAGGGCUGUUCCCAGCUCGCGGAGGCCACGACGCCCCACGGUCCAUCUUCAGAGCCAGCCGGGCGGUCGGGGCCCACCUCCUGUGCUCAAUCUGACCCAUUUGUCUGCCCUUGUAAGCACUGGCGUGGUUAGCCCGGGCCCGCCGGACAGGGUGAUCUCCCCAUCUCGGGGUCCGUGCAGAUCCCCCGUGCCGUGUGGGGUCGGGGACUGGGGACACAGACCUCCGGGGGGGCCUCAUCCUGCCUGCAGGUGGGACCAGAAGCGGAACGGAAGCAACACUGCAGGGUCUCAGAAGCCCCGAAGCCACAUCCAUGGCCCACGCCUGGUCUGUGAGCUGGCGACCCCAGAAGUGAUACCUCGUGCGUUCCUCCUACCUGGA